UACGGAGGGUGCAAGCGUUAUCCGGAUUUACUGGGUUUAGAGGGUGUGUAGGCGGGCAAUUAGGUCAGCGGUGAAAUCUCCGGGCUCAACCCGGAAACUGCCAUUGAUACUAUUUGUCUUGAAUAUCGUUGAGGUAGGCGGAAUAUGUCAUGUAGCGGUGAAAUGCUUAGAUAUGACAUAGAACACCGAUUGCGAAGGCAGCUUGCUAAACGAUGAUUGACGCUGAGGCACGAAAGCGUGGGGAUCAAACAGG
rnacentral:rRNA from 1 species